GGCCAGUUAAGGGCGACUGAAAGGGGAUGAGCCCAGCGCAUAACCUCACGGUUUUGUUUUGGCCGUUGAGGGGUGUUGCGUUUCGGUGGAUCCGUACCGCUCUUUUUGCUGACCGCCUAAGUCAUUGCUUGAAUGCAGCCCCUUGGAGGGUGGUAGGCCCGUGUGGCGGCGCCUGUAAAAAGGUUUGGAAGCAAUUUGAGCGGAGGGAUGUUUACCGUAGAGUCGGGUUGCUUAGUACUGCAGCCCUAAGUAGGUGGUAAACUCCAUCUAAGGCUAAAUACUACCACGAGUCCGAUAUUUGACAAGUACCGUGAGGGAAAGCUGAAAAGGACUCUGAAGAGAGAGUUCAAGAGGACGUGAAACCAUUAGAAGCUGAAACGGGUGGAACCGUGAAGGAGGAAAGAGGGGAUUCAGGCUGUGGGCACUGUCAUGGAGAGCGAGUUUUUGAUAUUGAGUAGACCCGGCGUACGAGUGAGUUGCCGGUGCACUCGUUGUCCUUUGGCAGUGCGGGCAGACUUAUUUCUCCCUCAAGUACUAGACGUGGCGACCCGCUGAUUGGACCCCCGAAGGCUGCUUAGGAUUGGUAUCUUAGACCAUUGGUUUAGGUGAUGACCUGACGCAGUUCUGAGUGGGUUUAAUGGGCGGUCACUACGAGGAUGUUCUCUGGUUUUUCGGAGCGAGAGUUCAUCUCGCCAUGUGAGAGGUAUCGGUAAUCCACCCGACCCGUCUUGAC
rnacentral:rRNA from 1 species